CCCUACAGCUAAGCUAUGCCAUUGGCUGUUAGCAUGCUAGCACAUUAGCAAAUAUUAGCAUUCCUGAAAUUACACACAACAGUGUUUUGGCGAGGUGGGCACAAACACAGCUGAACACUCCAGUUUGGAUGUCAUCCGGAACUAUUUGUGGACAAGUUCUAUUUCUGUUCUCACUUGUUGUUAGGUUACUUUGUUGUCUCACCAAAAGAGCAAUUUUUUAGCAACUGUCCACACAGGAAGCUACUUGGCGACCAGAUAUAACAGAAAGCCGAUGACAUACAGAGUCUUAAAGCUACAAAUCCACCGUGGCUCCCGAAGUGGAUGAGCUGCUCGUUGAAGAACCAGGUGAACUUGAGUUCCAGAGACGGGUCGUGGCUCACUUGGCAGGGCAGGACCACGCUCUCCCCGACGGUAACGUCCAGUGUGGAGGCCAGCGUGGUGAUGACGCCCAGACAACAUGUCUGCGCGAUGUGCCCAUUAUGCAAGGAGACAUUUUCCACCCUGGUCCUGGGAGAAUCCAGAGGAUGGGGGGUGGGGGGCAGGUAUCAAUAAUUCACAGGAGGCGAUUAUUUUGAACACGGCGAGAUGUCCGAAUGCACUCGUGUAAUCCCAAAAAACACAGGUGUGUAUUUUUUGGGGGGGAGAUCAAGCCUCAGAGGACAGGGGCUGCACAGCGUUGAUCCUCCCUGCUCUCCACCAAGAUGAAAGAGACAAAUAACAUCAGUCACAGAGCAGCUAUCACGAGGUGCUGUGAAGUGGAAAUCGCAGGAGAAGAGCCCGGUCCAAAUUGAAAGCCUUAUGUUUUGUGUUUUUUGUAUUUGUGAUUUCCUUACGUUCUCUCUGAGACGAUGUUAACAGAUGCACACUUUGCCUUUUUGCAAGCUUCCUUACCAUAAAAAAACAAACACUUGAAAGCCUUGUUUUGAUGUUUCAUUCAGACAUAUUUUUGUCUUUGAUCUGUUUGAUAAAUUCUGGAUGUCGAGAGGAAACUGUCACAAUCCAAAUAAUGAA